GCAUGAUCCAUGCAUCAUGAAUGCCAUGAGAUAUAGUAGGUUGUUUGCAUUAGUAUUCACGAAUAUGUUGCAUUGCAUUUAUGAUGUUGAUGUUGAUGUGGAUUGGUUAUUGGAUGAUCCUUUAGUCCUCAUAUGAUAUGAUGAUGUUAUGGCAUGAUAUGGUAUGGAAGUCCAGGUUGUACCCAUUCUACGUCCCUGGCACGAUGUAAGAGGAAGUCCAGGUUGUACCCAUUCUACGUCCCUGGCACAGUUGGACUGUAUGAUAUGUUAUGUUAAGGGAAAGACCGGUUGACCCAUUUUACGUCCCGGCACAGUUGGACCUAUGUAGAGGACUAUUGGUGACAAUACCAUCCGAGAUGUGAUUUGUUGUGAUGUGUUGCAUU
rnacentral:lncRNA from 1 species